CAUGUUACUUAGGGCAAGCAAUUGGCGUGGUUGUUGGAUAUGGAGACCGAUGGCAACAUAGUGACAGCCGUCAUCUUCUUACUUUCAUUACGGUAAUCGAUUCAAAAGCUAAACUAAAAACUAGAGCUACUAAUAAAAGGUAAGGUUGAUAACUGGGAUGAAGGUGAUGGUUGAUUUGAUGUUUAAGAGAAAGGGUGGAGUGGUUGAUGUUAUCAUCCCUGGAUAUGAGGAAGAUUUCAAUCGUAAGAUCAUUCCUCCACGUGAGGCCUGGAGGAUCAAAGUCAGGGUACUAAGGGCUUGGACUGUACUUAGCUUUGGUAAUUCAGAUGUUCCAAAUUCAAUUGAACUUAUUCUGGUUGAUGAAAAUUCUACCAAACUCCAGGCCACUAUAAGGAAGCAACUAAUACACAAGUUUAAAGAUCAUCUUCUUGAAGGCAGUUGUUAUAAGAUGAGUUAUUUUGCUGUUGUUUCAAACCAAGGCUCUUAUAGAGCUACAAAGCAUGAGUUCAAACUCAUUUUUCUGUUUCGUACAACAGUGACAAUAAUUCCUGAUGAUAUAAUACCCAAGUCUUGUUUUUCUAUAUAUCCCUUUAAAGACAUAUUGCAAAUGAGUUAGGAUCAUGACUAUUUAGUUGAUGUAAUUGGUCUUUUGACAUUGGUUGGGGAAGAGAAAAACUAUGACAGGGAUGGUAAAACGGUUAAGAUGGUUGUUGUCGAACUUUCUUCACAAAAGAUGAUGCUGCGAUGCGCAUUAUUUGGAGAGUACGUGGACCAGUUAAAUGAUUUUCUUGCUUCUGGUUAUGUUGAGCAAUCGGUUGUCAUUGUUCAACUUGCUAAGAUUAAACCUUUUCGAGGUGUUGUAACUGAAUGUUAUCUUAUUAUAUGUACGGUUAUGUUAUCCUGAUCUUUAGAUCUGUUGACAUUCUUUUAUUACCCAUAGGUCAACCUGGUCUCCAGAAUGUUAUGAACGCAACGAAAAUUU